GCGCCGAGCCCGGGGCAGGUCGGGGUUUCUCCCUUUCACCCGGCUCGGCCUUUCACGCUCCUCCGGCCGCAGCGUGUGCGGGAAAAGCGCCGCUCACGAGGGGCUCAGCCGGGGGCAGGGCCGAGGAAUGCCCCGGGGGCGGCGAUAACGCGCCGCUGUUGUGUUUUCCUUCUUCGGACGGAAGUUAAAGGCAGGAGGCCCAGGAAGGCGAGAGGAGGUCACGAUCGAGGCAUCAGAUCCUUCCCGUGGUUGUACCCAGCGCCGUCGGUACAAGAAGCGAUUCUCCCACGGCUGUAGCAGAACGGCUCAGCCCAGAUGCACUGGAGUCAAAACCUACAGGGAAGGUGGAACGCGUGUAAUUGAUGGCAGAGGAAGCCAUCAUUACAGCUUGGUAUCAGCUGCACUGCGUUCAACAACGAGGCAGCUGCUUUUGAGUAACGACUUCAAGCAAUUCUUAAAAUAUUCUCUCAAAGAAGAGCAGUCUGCUUUCUCCAAGCGGUGAGGGACGUGGAGAACAAGAAAUCACCUCCCAGCCUUACACAGAACCUGCUGCGCUGGGCACCCAUGUGAGAACAAACCUUUGGGGACCACCGAGGACACUGCUGGUGUUAAUCUCUUACAUCAUUAUGAUUGUGGUGAGAGAGUGACCUGCAGAGGAAAAUCGGAUUAUACAGGUAUAAAAGAGAGCUUUUAGUUCAUUUAUACAAUUUUUCACAAGUUCUGAAAGCAUUCACACUUUUGGUGUGACAAAAACCAACUCAGAUUUUACAUCAUCCAAGUGUGGCCAAGUCUGCAUUUUUUCUUUCUUAUUCUUUUGGUGUUCAUAUA